GACGAACGCUGGCGGCGUGCUUAACACAUGCAAGUCGAACGGAAAGGCCCUGCUUGCAGGGUACUCGAGUGGCGAACGGGUGAGUAACACGUGGGUGAUCUGCCCUGCACUUCGGGAUAAGCCUGGGAAACUGGGUCUAAUACCGGAUAGGAGCCAUUUUUAGUGUGAUGGUUGGAAAGUUUUUUCGGUGUAGGAUGAGCUCGCGGCCUAUCAGCUUGUUGGUGGGGUAAUGGCCUACCAAGGCGGCGACGGGUAGCCGGCCUGAGAGGGUGGACGGCCACAUUGGGACUGAGAUUCGGCCCAGACACCUACGGUAGGCAGAAGUGGGGAAUAUUGCACAAUGGGCGCAAGCCUGAUGCAGCGACGCCGCGUGGGGGAUGACGGCCUUCGGGUUGUAAACUCCAUUCGCUAGGGACUAAGCUUUUUGUGACGGUACCUAGAUAAGAAGCACCGGCUAACUACGUG
rnacentral:rRNA from 1 species